rnacentral:rRNA from 1 species
GGUGGGGAGCAAACAGGAUUAGAUACCUGGUAGUCACGCGUAAACGAUGAGUGCUAAGUGUUGGAGGGUUUCCCCCUUCAGUGCUGCAGCUAACGCAUUAAGCACUCCGCUGGGGAGUACGACCGCAAGGUUGAAACUCAAAGGAAUUGACGGGGGCCCGCACAAGCGGUGGAGCAUGUGGUUUAAUUCGAAGCAACGCGAAGAACCUUACCAGGUCUUGACAUCCUUUGACCACUCUAGAGAUAGAGCUUUCCCUUCGGGGACAAAGUGACAGGUGGUGCAUGGUUGUCGUCAGCUCGUGUCGUGAGAUGUUGGGUUAAGUCCCGCAACGAGCGCAACCCUUAUUGUUAGUUGCCAUCAUUCAGUUGGGCACUCUAGCGAGACUGCCGGUGACAAACCGGAGGAAGGUGGGGAUGACGUCAAAUCAUCAUGCCCCUUAUGACCUGGGCUACACACGUGCUACAAUGGGAAGUACAACGAGUCGCUAGGCCGCGAGGUCAUGCAAAUCUCUUAAAGCUUCUCUCAGUUCGGAUUGCAGGCUGCAACUCGCCUGCAUGAAGCCGGAAUCGCUAGUAAUCGCGGAUCAGCACGCCGCGGUGAAUACGUUCCCGGGCCUUGUACACACCGCCCGUCACACCACGAAAGUUUGUAACACCCGAAGUCGGUGAGGUAACCUUUUGGAGCCAGCCGCCUAAGGUGGGAUAGAUGAUUGGGGUGAAGUCGUAACAAGGUAACCAAGGGCGAAUUCCAG